rnacentral:sRNA from 1 species
GGGAGUCUUGACCGCCGCCGGGCUCUUGGUACCUCAGCGCGAGCGCCAGGCGUCCGGCCGCCGUGGCUAUGUUCGUGUCCGAUUUCCGCAAAGAGUUCUACGAGGUGGUCCAGAGCCAGAGGGUCCUUCUCUUCGUGGCCUCGGACGUGGAUGCUCUGUGUGCGUGCAAGAUCCUUCAGGCCUUGUUCCAGUGUGACCACGUGCAAUAUACGCUGGUUCCAGUUUCUGGGUGGCAAGAACUUGAAACUGCAUUUCUUGAGCAUAAAGAACAGUUUCAUUAUUUUAUUCUCAUAAACUGUGGAGCUAAUGUAGACCUAUUGGAUAUUCUUCAACCUGAUGAAGACACUAUAUUCUUUGUGUGUGACACCCAUAGGCCAGUCAAUGUCAUCAAUGUAUACAACGAUACCCAGAUCAAAUUACUCAUUAAACAAGAUGAUGACCUUGAAGUUCCCGCCUAUGAAGACAUCUUCAGGGAUGAAGAGGAGGAUGAAGAGCAUUCAGGAAAUGACAGCGAUGGGUCAGAGCCUUCUGAGAAGCGCACACGGUUAGAAGAGGAGAUAGUGGAGCAAACCAUGCGGAGAAGGCAGCGGCGAGAGUGGGAGGCCCGGAGUGGCUCUGGGAGUGAACCUGUGGCCGCUGCGUUGGAGAAGAGCUCCAGGUUGUUCCCCGGUCCCAUGAGUGACAGGACAGCCCCAAGGUCUCCCAGAAGAGA